UCAGUUCCAUAAUCUUUCAAACCAGCGUUUUUGCAGACAGCAUUUAUUGAGGCUCUAAUCUCAUUUCACAGGCGAUGCGCUCCUAAAAUCACAGAUUCUGUGGCAUUUCAUGUUGCUCUUCUUGCAGUGUGCAGCCUUGGUUUGGAAAGGGCAAACUCACCUUCGGAUGAAGCCACGCCCACAAAUUGCGAAGCUACUUGUUCAAAGUCUGCGACCUACGAUGAUUCUAGGCGGGAAAGAAGAAGAAGAAGAAGAAGAAGAAGAGAUUCUAGGCGGGAAACAAAGAAGCACGCUUCUUCAGCUCGACAUGUUGAGCAGGUGGGUCACGUUUCAGCACCAGGUGAAAGAUUGACGUUGAUGCUCUGUUAACUCAGGUUCCUGUGAAGCGCAGAGAUGAGGCAAAUCCGUGCUGGGAUUAUCUUCCACUUUCUCACCUUGCACAGGUGUGGAGAGCUGAUAUGGCCCAAACCCACAUGCUCCCGAUGCACCAUGGGAAGAAGCGGGACAGCUGUGAGAGGGAAGCCACAGAGGUAAGGGAAAACUGGUCUUGUUCAAUGGGUUUUUCAACCCAUGCUCCAAGUCCUGCUUUGUAGAAAGCUUUGAAGAGAGUCUGUUUGGCCGCGUGAUACUCCACUGCCACUUGUUUUGCCUCGUGGUAGGAGCCUGGCCAAGAUCCUCGGAUCCGCAGAGUCUCACUGAGCUGAGAGAGAAAUGCUUUACCUUGGCAUGUAGACAGACCCAGCGACUGUAGAGGGCGUGUUUACAGAGGUGAGACGGUCUUCCGAGAUCAUCUUUUCCUGUGGUGGCGUUAAUGAUCUCCAACCCCUGAUCGCCGACUGUCCAGU